rnacentral:rRNA from 1 species
UAGGGAAUCUUCCACAAUGGGCGAAAGCCUGAUGGAGCAACGCCGCGUGUGUGAUGAAGGCUUUCGGGUCGUAAAGCACUGUUGUUAAAGAAGAACACGUAUGAGAGUAACUGUUCAUACGUUGACGGUAUUUAACCAGAAAGUCACGGCUAACUACGUGCCAG